GAUGAACGCUGGCGGCGUGCCUAAUACAUGCAAGUCGAGCGAACAGACGCGGCGCUUGCUCCUCUGACGUUAGCGGCGGACGGGUGAGUAACACGUGGAUAACCUACCUAUAAGACUGGGAUAACUUCGGGAAACCGGAGCUAAUACCGGAUAAUAUAUUGAACCGCAUGGUUCAAUAGUGAAAGACGGUUUUGCUGUCACUUAUAGAUGGAUCCGCGCCGCAUUAGCUAGUUGGUAAGGUAACGGCUUACCAAGGCGACGAUGCGUAGCCGACCUGAGAGAGUGAUCGGCCACACUGGAACUGAGACACGGUCCAGACUCCUACGGGAGGCAGCAGUAGGGAAUCUUCCGCAAUGGGCGAAAGCCUGACGGAGCAACGCCGCGUGAGUGAUGAAGGUCUUCGGAUCGUAAAACUCUGUUAUUAGGGAAGAACAAAUGUGUAAGUAACUAUGCACGUCUUGACGGUACCUAAUCAGAAAGCCACGGCUAACUACGUG
rnacentral:rRNA from 1 species